UUUAAGAUGCCAAGGAAUUUAAUGUACUGUUUGGACAAGUGGUUAGAGAAAAGCAUUCUGGGAUAAAGCCACUCUAAUUACACGAACUCUAAAAUUGUUUCCUUUAUUGUGAAUGUAGCUAGCUAUAUUUCACAAACUCAUCUAAAUAAAUAAAUUUGAAAAACUAGACUGAGCCAUCUUAGGUAUGUGGAGUACAUUUUCAUUCAAAAUGUUACAAUAGGUGUCUAUCAUUUACAUAUUAGAGAAAAUAUCCUUACAUAUUUUUUAACCAGAUUUAAUAAGACACUAAAUCUAUUAAAAUACACAUAAAAUAGCUCUAUUAUAGAUCAUCUAUUACUUUUAAAACUCCUAAGAAAUUCUAAAAUUAAGGUAUGCUGGAUCCCUGAAUCAAGUGCUGUUAGUAUAAUUCCUUCUGAUUUUUUAAAACUGAGAACUCAGAUUUGUGAAAGACAAAUGGUUAAAAGGUCAAGAGAAAUCACUUCACCUUUAGAAGACACAGUAUUCUUCUAGGUUAGAGAUCAACUGGCCUAUACCAGCAGAGCAAUAUAAACAGGUUACUAACAAAGACAAUCAUACAGUUCACCAAAUCAAAUAAGACUUUAGCUCUUGUGCUUUUUUAAAUAAAAUUAUGUAAUUAAUCAGAAUCUAAAAGCUUAACAUGUAAAAAACAAAAAGUCACCCCAAAACCCCUAUAAAAUGCUAGCACAUUCUUUCAAUGAUUAUAAUUUUAAUAAACAUGUUGUGGAGUUUUAGGCCACCUGGCAAAAGAGUUUAUUUUUAAAAGUAAUUUCUACAUAAUGAUUUCACUUCUCUAAAUCAAAUCCAAGCUGAAACUUCCAAAGUGCUGCUAAUCAGCAACCACAAAAUUAAAACAUUAAGGGCUGGAAGGUUCCUUUGAUUUUACUAGACUCAUCCAGUCUAAUUCCCACUAAAAGACUGUUAGAAAUGAAAUUAUAAUAAGGCCUAGAGUUAAGCUAAAUGGCAUUCACAAUUAUAAACAAAACAAAAUAAAACCCAAGGGAAAAGCUCAACACCUCCAAUAUUAUACCGGAACUUGCUAUGAAUUUUUAGCUAUAAAUACUGUAAACAAAGAACAAAAAAGCUAACAGUACAAAAACUAGGUCAUUUAAUGAAAUAAGAAAAAUAAUGUGAAAGGACAAAGAAUAUCUUUGUAGACUUCAAAAUAACAUCUAACUCAGGAACUAUCAUCCCAUUCUGGUAGAUCUAACAGAAGAUGCACAUAACUACUCUAAUUCCCUAAGUAUUAUAACUCCACACACAAUAAAUCACUGCUCAUUAACUCAGCUCUUGUUCUUUCCAUGGAAACGAUGCCUCUAUAUUUUAUUUUCGGAAAACAGUAACUAUUCUGAAAUGAAAUAGGAGUACUGACUUUCAGCUCCAUUAAAAAAAAAACAUCAAGCUAGUUCACUCAUCCUUUCUUUCAAUGCAAU